AUGGCAAUCCGUGCUUCUGCGAGCAACAACAAAAAUAGGGCGAAACAAAGCAAGCAAAAAAGAAGAAUUGAGAUGCUACAUACAACCAAUGGUAUCCUUUUAACGCCGCCGCCGGGGGUCCUUCCGCCUGAGCCAGGAUCUCUUCUACCCUGCACCGCUGCUGUGAACUCAUCCAUGCUGACAGUCGGCUCCAUGCUACAACUGCUGCAGCCUGCAGAGAAACUUGAACUACAAUAUGGUAGACAUGUACAGGACCAAGCAAGAAAUCAGGAAUGGUUAGCGAGCUAUGCCUUGAAGAGAGCCAAAAGGAAGAGAGAGGCGAGUGUACAUGACGUGAAGACGGCAAGGUACCACUUCCAUGACGAUGUCAACAUCGUCGUGGUCUAUCUUCACCGGCACCGGCCCCGGGGGCGCCGUCACAUCAGGGUUACGGAGCAGUAA
rnacentral:rRNA from 1 species